GUAAUCCUUCGGGGCAGGGUGAAAUUCCCUACCGGCGGUGAUGACUUGUCUUCAAGUCUUAGUCCGUGACCCGUGAGCUGGAAGCUAGCGGUGGAUCUGGUGCAACUCCAGAACCGACAGUAUAGUCUGGAUGAGAGAAGGAGAAU
rnacentral:ncRNA from 2 species